rnacentral:rRNA from 1 species
GAUGAACGCUGGCGGCGUGCCUAAUACAUGCAAGUCGAGCGAACAGACGAGGAGCUUGCUCCUCUGACGUUAGCGGCGGACGGGUGAGUAACACGUGGAUAACCUACCUAUAAGACUGGGAUAACUUCGGGAAACCGGAGCUAAUACCGGAUAAUUUAUUGAACCGCACGGUUCAAUAGUGAAAGACGGUUUUGCUGUCACUUAUAGAUGGAUCCGCGCCGCAUUAGCUAGUUGGUAAGGUAACGGCUUACCAAGGCAACGAUGCGUAGCCGACCUGAGAGGGUGAUCGGCCACACUGGAACUGAGACACGGUCCAGACUCCUACGGGAGGCAGCAGUAGGGAAUCUUCCGCAAUGGGCGAAAGCCUGACGGAGCAACGCCGCGUGAGUGAUGAAGGUCUUCGGAUCGUAAAACUCUGUUAUUAGGGAAGAACAAAUGUGUAAGUAACUAUGCACGUCUUGACGGUACCUAAUCAGAAAGCCACGGCUAACUACGUG